rnacentral:tRNA from 1 species
GCCUUUGUGGUGUAACGGUAGCACACUCGGCGCGUAUUCGAGAGGUCCAGGUUCGAGUCCCGUCGAAGGCA